GCGUUCAAUGGAUGCCUUGGUGCAACACACCGAAGAAGGACGUGGAGGGCUGCGAUAAGUACCGGUGAGCUGCCGUCAAGCUUUGAUCCGGUAAUUUCCGAAUGGGGAAACCCGCUUGUGCAUGGCACAGGGGUUCUUAAGUCACUUAAGUACCUUAAGUUACUUAGGGGUUCUUGCGCUGUGCAUGAGCAUCCUUUUGCGAAUUAAUAAGCUUAAGGAAGGGUACCGUCUGAACUGAAACAUCUAAGUAAGGCGAGGAAAAGAAAGUAAUUAACGAUUCCCUGAGUAGUGGCGAGCGAAAGGGGAAAAGCCCAAACCAGGUACCAUACGGUACCUGGGGUUGCGGGACUCUAAUAUGAGAUCUCACUUAAGAUAGCAGAACUGUCUGGAAUGGCAGGCCAUAGAGAGUGAAAGACUCGUAUGUGAAAUCUUAAAUGGCUCUAGGAGUAUCCCAAGUUCUACGGGACACGCGAAAUCCUGUAGGAAUCUGGCUCGACCAUGAGCUAAGGCUAAAUAUGUGUUGCGACCGAUAGUGAACUAGUACCGUGAGGGAAAGGUGAAAGAGUACCCCGGAAGGGGAAUGAAAAGUACCUGAAAUUGAACGCUAACAAGCAGCCGGAGCCAGGUACCGUCUGGUACCUGGUGACGACNNNNNNAUUGAAGAAUGAACCGGUGAGUUUUUCCAUUCUGUAGUCUAACCCCGCCUUUUGGCCGUAAGCCAAAGGCGCAAAUUCGAAGCACGAAUAUCGAAAUACUAAACAAAUUCGAAUUUUCAAAUUUUCAAAAUUCGAAAAAGCUGGUUUUGAUCAUUUGAAUUUAGGAUUUUGUAUUUGUUUCGGAUUUAGAAUUUAGAAUUUUGGAAUUCUGACCUUUGCGAGUUUGCGAGCAAAGGGCGGGGGGAGGCAAAGUGAAAGCGAGCGUUAAUAGCGCGUCCCGCCCUUUUUGGGUUUAAGUUAGACGGGGACAAUGUUCAAUUUGAACUUGAAAAGGGCGGGAUUAUACAGCAUGGAAAAGACCCGAAACCGCGUGAGCUAGCCAUGGCCAGGAUGAAGUCCCGCGAAAGCGGUAUGGAGGUCCGAACCCGUGUCAGUUGCAAGUGGCUGGGAUGAGCUGUGGUUAGGGGUGAUAUGCCAAUCGAACGCGGAGAUAGCUGGUUCUCCCCGAAAUAUAUUUAGGUAUAGCCCCCGUCAAAGUUCCUAGGGGUAGAGCACUGAAUAGUCUGUGCGCAGCAAUGUGUGCUGAUUAAUCAAACUUCGAAUACUGGGAAAUAAUCUAGGCGGGGAGUCAGUCCGACCCGGAUAAGCGGGCCAGGGCUAAAGGGAAACAUCCCAGAUCCAAAGCUAAGGUCCCGAAGUGUAUUUUAAGUGUGCAAGGUAGUAUUGACGUUUAGACAGCAAGGAGGUUGGCUUAGAGGCAGCCAUCCUUUAAAGAAAGCGUAACAGCUCACUUGUCUAAGUUCCGGAGAUCGGAAUUCAGAUGUCGGAUCUCGGACGUGAUAGUCUGAUUUCUGAUAUCCGACAUCCGACCUCCGGAACAGGCGGCAGUGCGCCGACAAUGUAACGGGGCUAAAAAUACCACCGAAGCUUGGGGUUCGCAUGCGUAGCAUGCGAUUACGAAUGGAUGCGAAUGCUAGAUUAAUGCGAAUGAAUGCGAAUGUGCUUCGAUUUAAUAUCUCAUUGUUGAUAUUUUAGAUUAUUGAUGCAUUCGAAUAAAUUCGCAUAUAAAAAGUAUUUGCAAAAAUUAGUAGUCGCCUGCUGCGCAGGCGAGCGGUAGGGGAGCGUUCGCAUAUGCGGUGAAGGCCACGGCGUAAGCCGGACUGGAGCGGUGCGAAGUGAGAAUGCCGGUAUGAGUAGCGAAACCCCGGUUGGAAUCCGGGGCGCCGAAUGUCCAAGGUUUCCUACGCAACGUUCGUCGACGUAGGGUUAGUCGGUCCUAAGGCGAGGCCAGAAGGCGUAGUCGAUGGACAAGCCGUUAAUAUUCGGCUACUUUGACAAAAUCGUUUUAAAGCAAAGGGAAGACGAAGAUGGAAGACUUCUGGGUCGAAAUGAUACGGCCCCUAAAAAGCAAGGAAGUGAAAAGUGGAAAAUCCCUUUUUAUGAUUAUUCGAGCUUUGAUAGCAAUCUGGCUCGCGCUGGAGAGAGAAACUGUUUCAACUUCCAAGAAAUUUUCUCGUUGUUAUGUUUUUGUCAAAACCGUACCUAAACCGACACAGGUGGACUGGUAUUAGUGUACCAAGGCGAGCGAGAGAACCUUCCUUAAGGAACUCGGCAAUAUAACUGGACGUACCUUUGGUAGAUGUCCUCCCAGGUACCAAACGGUACCUGGGCGCAGUUAACGAUGCCAAGCGACUGUUUAACAAAAACACAGGUCCCUGCUUAAGUUGAAAAACGAUGUAUAGGGGCUGACGCCUGCCCAGUGCUCGUAGGUUAAAUGCCGUAGGUGAUCCCCGCCCUUUUUGGGCUUUAGAUUUUCGUUUGUUACUAAACUAACGAAAUUUCAUUUUGAGUAAAUUUUUAAGUCUAGAGCUUGAAAAGGACGGGGUGAGCUUGUGGUAUAAGCCCGGGUAAACGGCAGCAGUAACUAUAACUGUUCUAAGGUAGCGAAAUUCCUUGUCGGGUAAGUUCCGACCCGCACAAAAGGCUGAACGACUUGGCAACUGUCUUGAGGAAGGACUCGGCGAAAUUGCAAUGGCUGUGAAGAUGCGGCCAACUUGCACCAGGACAAAAAGACCCCGUGGAGCUUUACUGCAGCUUGACUUUGUUUCAACUAUUGGAACUGUAUAGCGUAGGAGGGAGUCAGGUACCAUUCGGUACCUGACAACAAUGUAACACCUCUCUUUUCGAUGGCUGGAACUUACCGUUUGUCCUAAUAAAAUACGGGAGACGGGACAGUGUCNNNNNNNNNNNNNNNNNNNNNNNNNNNNNNNNNNNNNNNNNNNNNNNNNNNNNNNNNNNNNNNNNNNNNNNNNNNNNNNNNNNNNNNNNNNNNNNNNNNNNNNNNNNNGGCUUAUCUUCCCCAAGAGUCCAUAUCGACGGGAAGGUUUGGCACCUCGAUGUCGGCUCACCGUAUCCUCCUGCUGAAGUAGGCGGGAAGGGUUGGGCUGUUCGCCCAUUAAAACGGUACGCGAGCUGGGUUCAGAACGUCGUGAGACAGUUCGGCCUCUAUCCGGUGCAAGCGUUUGAUAUUUGAGGGGGGUCGCCACUAGUACGAGAGGACCGUGGUGAGCGAACCUCUAGUGUGCCAGUUGUCACAUCAGUGGCAGUGCUGGGUAGCUACGUUCGUAACUGAGAAGCGCUGAAAGCAUCUAAGCGCCAAACAGGCCCCAAGACUAGAUAUCGUUAAGAUCCGUUGUAGACUACGACGUUGAUAGGCGGCAAGUGUAAAGGCAGUAAUGUUUGU
rnacentral:rRNA from 1 species